rnacentral:rRNA from 1 species
GGAAGGAUCAUUAUCGAAUCCGACUCCUUGUCAGAAAUCACUGUGCACUUGGUGCCUGUUCGGCAUGUCCUUCGGGGUUGGCCUUGUGCCAUUAAAUCGUUCCGGCGCUGCAACCGCCCUUUUGAAAGGGAAAUUCGGAAGCAUGGUCAGUCGGGCCCCGAGGGCAGUCGUGCAGGUGGUCCUUUUUUCUUCCACCCUAAACCAAGCAAAUUUGCAGACUGGACUGUGGGCUUUCGCGAGAAAGCUUGUCUCUUGACUGAAAAUCUGGGACAACUUUCAACGGUGGAUCUCUUGGCUCGUGGAUCGAUGAAGAACGCAGCAAAACGCGAUAUGUAGUGUGAAUUGCAGAAUUCAGUGAAUCAUCGAAUCUUUGAACGCAAAUGGCGCUCCUGGGUAUUCCCAGGAGCAUGUCUGUCUCAGUGUCGUUUCCACCUCGAGCGCGCUGCGGCGCGGAGGCUUUGAGGUGUCUGGGCGCGGUUGCAAGCACAGCGUUGAUGCCCAGUCCCUUGAAAUGCAGUGGCCUGACAGUUCCCGGCACGGCUCGUUCCGGAUCUGUUCGCACGGCUUGAUGGUCGCUAAAACCACUGUCGUGUCGCAACGGCCGUCCUCCGAGCCGGACACUGCCAACGUCAGGACCAACGGAACCUUCGGCGUGCGGCGCUUUGAGCGUUCGCGCGACAUGUUUGACCUGAGAUCAGGCAGGACUACCCGCUGAAUUUAAGCAUAUUAAUAAGCGGAGG